UUGCCCCUACGGGGCGCAGCAGUGGGGGAUAUUGGACAAUGGGGGAAACCCUGAUCCAGCGAUGCCGCGUGAGGGAAGAAGGUUUUCGGAUUGUAAACCUCUGUGGAGGGGGACAAUAAUGACGGUACCCCUUUAGGAAGCCACGGCUAACUACGUGCCAGCAGCCGCGGUAAUACGUAGGUGGCGAGCGUUGUCCGGAAUUACUGGGUGUAAAGGGAGUGUAGGCGGGAAAGCAAGGCAGAAGUGAAAACUAUGGGCUUAACCAAUAGCCUGCUUUUGAAACUGUUUUUCUUGAGUGAAGUAGG
rnacentral:rRNA from 1 species